rnacentral:rRNA from 1 species
CGGGAACUCUGACACAGGUGCUGCAUGGCUGUCGUCAGCUCGUGUCGUGAGAUGUUGGGUUAAGUCCCGUAACGAGCGCAACCCUGUCCUUAGUUACCAGCACGUUAUGGUGGGCACUCUAAGGAGACUGCCGGUGACAAACCGGAGGAAGGUGGGGAUGACGUCGAGUCAUCAUGGCCCUUACGGCCUGGGCUACACACGUGCUACAAUGGUCGGUACAAAGGGUUGCCAAGCCGCGAGGUGGAGCUAAUCCCAUAAAACCGAUCGUAGUCCGGAUCGCAGUCUGCAACUCGACUGCGUGAAGUCGGAAUCGCUAGUGAUCGUGAAUCAGAAUGUCACGGUGAAUACGUUCCCGGGCCUU